GACGAACGCUGGCGGCGUGCCUAAUACAUGCAAGUCGAGCGAAGUUUUUCUGGUGCUUGCACUAGAAAAACUUAGCGGCGGACGGGUGAGUAACACGUAAAGAACCUGCCUCAUAGACGGGGACAACUAUUGGAAACGAUAGCUAAUACCGGAUAACAACAUAAAUCGCAUGAUAUAUGUUUAAAAGUUGGUUUCGGCUAACACUAUGAGAUGGCUUUGCGGUGCAUUAGCUAGUUGGUGGGGUAAAGGCCUACCAAGGCGACGAUGCAUAGCCGACCUGAGAGGGUGAUCGGCCACACUGGGACUGAGACACGGCCCAGACUCCUACGGGAGGCAGCAGUAGGGAAUCUUCCGCAAUGGGCGAAAGCCUGACGGAGCAACGCCGCGUGAGUGAAGAAGGAUUUCGGUUCGUAAAGCUCUGUUGUUAGGGAAGAAUGAUUGUGUAGUAACUAUACACAGUAGAGACGGUACCUAACCAGAAAGCCACGGCUAACUACGUGC
rnacentral:rRNA from 1 species